CAGCCGCCGCGGGAAUACGUAGGUGGCAAGCGUUGUCCGGAAUUAUUGGGCGUAAAGGGCUCGCAGGCGGUUUCUUAAGUCUGAUGUGUAAGCCCCCGGCUCAACCGGGGAGGGUCAUUGGAAACUGGGAAACUUGAGUGCAGAAGAGGAGAGUGGAAUUCCACGUGUAGCGGCGAAAUGCGUAGAGAUGUGGAGGAACACCAGUGGCGAAGGCGACUCUCUGGUCUGUAACUGACGCUGAGGAGCGAAAGCGUGGGGAGCGAACAGGAUUAGAUACCCGCGUAGUCCCUGUCUCUUAUAC
rnacentral:rRNA from 1 species